UACAGAGGUCUCAAGCGUUGUUCGGAUUCAUUGGGCGUAAAGGGUGCGUAGGCGGCGAGGCAAGUCUGGUGUGAAAUCCCGGGGCUCAACUCCGGAACUGCACUGGAUACUGCUUUGCUAGAGUACUGGAGAGGGAACUGGAAUUUACGGUGUAGCAGUGAAAUGCGUAGAGAUCGUAAGGAAGACCAGUGGCGAAGGCGAGUUCCUGGACAGUUACUGACGCUGAGGCACGAAGGCCAGGGGAGCAAACGGG
rnacentral:rRNA from 1 species